UACACUAGAUAUGUAUCAGAUACAUACACACAUGCAAAUUUUAUAUUACCACUUUUGUUUUAGGUUGCUGAUUUAUUGAUUGUAUUGUACAAUGCUGCUAUACCAACAACAAUAGAACCUCACUCAUUCUUAAUCUAUUCCCAUCUAUUAUUGAUCCUGCCAAUCCACACAGACUAGCUAUGGACCUAGCUCUCUCAGUCUAGUCAUUUUAAUCAUGCAUGCAAAGGUGGUGACAACUGCUAGUACUUGGAAUAGAAGAGUUUUUAUACAAUCACUUCAUACAACACAUUAA